rnacentral:rRNA from 1 species
GAUGAACGCUGGCGGCGUGCCUAAUACAUGCAAGUCGAGCGAACAGACGAGGAGCUUGUUCCUCUGACGUUAGCGGCGGACGGGUGAGUAACACGUGGAUAACCUACCUAUAUGACUGGGAUAACUUCGGGAAACCGGAGCUAAUACCGGAUAAUAUAUUGAACCGCAUGGUUCAAUAGUGAAAGACGGUUUUGCUGGCACUUAUAGAUGGAUCCGCGCCGCAUUAGCUAGUUGGUAAGGUAACGGCUUACCAAGGCAACGAUGCGUAGCCGACCUGAGAGGGUGAUCGGCCACACUGGAACUGAGACACGGUCCAGACUCCUACGGGAGGCAGCAGUAGGGAAUCUUCCGCAAUGGGCGAAAGCCUGACGGAGCAACGCCGCGUGAGUGAUGAAGGUCUUCGGAUCGUAAAGCUCUGUUAUUAGGGAAGAACAAAUGUGUAAGUAACUAUGCACGUCUUGACGGUACCUAAUCAGAAAGCCACGGCUAACUACGUG